UAUGCAGCAAAUGAUGCAAAUCAGGCGUUUUGUGACGCGCUGGAACAAUGUGCGAACGAAGUGUCAAAAUGCAGAAAUACGCCAUUCCUGUGUUAUUAUUCUAUCAUAAGAGAUCCUUCAGUAUUGUAUUGUGUAGGGGAAAAAGUUGGCUCGAUACAAGACGGUAAAAUAAUUGCAGCCAAAGCUUAUGAACUUUGCGAAGAAAUUGUUGAUUCAAAUUCCACGGACAUUUGUAAGGCCAACGUUAACUAUUGCUUAUCUAAAGGU